GACAGAGGAUGCAAGCGUUAUCCGGAAUGAUUGGGCGUAAAGCGUCUGUAGGUGGCUUUUUAAGUCCGCCGUCAAAUCCCAGGGCUCAACCCUGGACAGGCGGUGGAAACUACCAAGCUGGAGUACGGUAGGGGCAGAGGGAAUUUCCGGUGGAGCGGUGAAAUGCGUAGAGAUUGGAAAGAACACCGAUGGCGAAGGCACUCUACUGGGCUAGAACUGACACUCAGAGACGAAAGCUAGGGGAGCAAAUGGG
rnacentral:rRNA from 1 species